AAAGGCUCUUGAAGCCUUAACCAAAAAACUUCCAUCUUGAAAAGCAGAAAGCAGAGGCCACGAAAAAAAAAUAGAACACUAAGUUCUGUUCGCUCACGAAACCGAGCACGCAGGCAACGAAAAAUACUAGGGUUCUUCACAACUCACUUAUUCUUGAACUCAGAAUCGAUUGUUUGACUGGUGUCAAUUGGACUGGGGUCUACGUAUUGGCUCAAGGAGUUUUGAGGAACUGGAUUUGCAGGCGAGCAGGUUACGAGUUAGGAUUUCCUUCCCUUCCAGUGAUAUUGGUGAGCUCCGCUUUUGUUCGUGGAGUAUUCUUAGAGUCAUUUUCAUUUAGCUAUUUCUUUGUUUAUUUAGAGA